GAGAUCUAAAAUAAUAUAAAAUUAAAAUACACGAAACCAGUAUUGAGCUAAAUUCCAUAUUAUAUUAGUAUUUAAUAUUUAGCGUAGUAUAGCUAAAUUAAAAAUAGCAUUUAGGGGUGAAAGACCAAACAAAAAUGGUUAUAUCUUGUUAUUAAGGAAAUAUAUAUAGUAUAUUAAACAACUUAAAAAUGUUGAGGUUUUUAAGGAGUAUUAUUUGUAAUUAUUCUAUUUAAGGAAAUUAUAAUAGAUACCUUUAAAAUAAAAUAAAUAUUAAGCAUAUAUAUAAUAUAAUAAAUACUUGAUUUGAUGUAUUAGUCAAUUAGAAUCUUAAUAAUGAUUUCAUUAGUAUAUAAUCAAUUUUUAUAAAGGAAUUCGGCAAAAUAAACUCUCGACUGUUUAUCAAAAACAUAGUUUUAAGUAUUUACUUAAAAUUUAACCUGCUCAAUGAUAUUUAAAUAGCCGCAGUACCUUGACUGUGCAAAGGUAGCAUAAUCAAUUGGCUUAUAAUUGAAGUCUAGUAUGAAAGGGAAUUCGGGGGCAAACUGUCUAUAUAAAAUUUCCGAACUUACAUUAUAAGUGAAAAUUCUUAUAUAUUGAAAAAAGACGAGAAGACCCUAGAAAUUUUUUUAUAUAUGAUUUUGUUGGGGCGACAAGGUAACAAAUAACUUACCUUUCACAAUGUGGAACUUGUAAGCGGGGAAAACAAAUUACUCUAGGGAUAACAGCAUAAUAUAUUAAAGAUUGUGACCUCGAUGUUGGACUAGGAAGUUAAUUAUUUAGAAGGUAAAUAAAUAGGCUCUGUUCGAGCCUUUAAAUCCUACAUGAUCUGAGUUCAGACCGG
rnacentral:rRNA from 1 species